GAAUCCUACGGGGCGCAGCAGUGAGGAAUAUUGGUCAAUGGGCGAGAGCCUGAACCAGCCAAGUCGCGUGAGGGAAGACGGUCCUAUGGAUUGUAAACCUCUUUUGCCGGGGAGCAAAAAGCGGUACGUGUACCGCAUCGAGAGUACCCGGAGAAAAAGCAUCGGCUAACUCCGUGCCAGCAGCCGCGGUAAUACGGAGGAUGCGAGCGUUAUCCGGAUUUAUUGGGUUUAAAGGGUGCGCAGGCGGAGAGUUAAGUCAGCGGUAAAAUUUGGGGGAUCAACACCGACGAGCCGUUGAAACUGGU
rnacentral:rRNA from 1 species